rnacentral:tRNA from 1 species
GCCAGAAUGGUGUAGUGGUUUGAGUGUUGGACUACGACUCUAGAGAUCAGGGUUCAAAUUCCAGCUCAGCCA